GGCUGGGUGGUGUAGUUGGUUAUCACAUCUGUCUAACAGUAGGAGUUGAAUAAGUUCCACUGGUGUGUGCACAGAAGGUCCCGAGUUCAAGUCUCGGCCGAGUCA